GUGUCUUUAUAUACGCAUGUAAAUAGGUAUGCGUUUAUGUAGGCAUAGAUUAAUUAUAUUAAUUGUCAGUGGCGCUGUGGCGGGUCGCGCCCGAGCAGGGGUGUGACCAGGAUUCCGCGGGCCGGGGAAUCGUAAUUUUGGCCCAUCUACGGGAAGCCAGCCGAUACAAUUUACGCCUUUUUAUUUCGAUUCGGGUAAAGGGGUCCUCUACGUUGGCCGGUCUGUUUUUUUUUCCUAAACGGUCACACACACAAAACGCCCUAACACUGCCGAUGUUUAUUUUCCCACUCCCGGCAUGUUCAGCGUAGCUACUCUACGCAGUCCCCCUUGCUGCAGUUGAUCUCAUCUCUUCUACUGCCCUUGAACCAAAUUCAAGGGCAUCGCAUGGCAUUCUUGAGGGUGUGGGUGAGCUGGCUCGUGGAUCCCGCAAUAUUCCCCUCUCUUACAUUCUCCCGCUCUCUCACCGGCACCGUUGAUCGCCUUGCCCCUUCGCCUAUCGACCUAUCAACCUCCAAAAAAAUACUACCAAAUCUAGUAUUUUGCAUAUCGCUCUCCUUCGAAUGCAACACCUAGCGAAAAUUCAGGCGUGCCUGGACGGAAGAAUUAUUCGCAAACACUCGAAGGACAUUGAAACCUAACGCUUGCCCUAAGGUCUUGCAGCGCCCAACGUAGGCUCACACCCACUCGGUUUGUACAUGAGUGCCCUAUUCUUCUUCCCUUCUCCUUCUAAAGCUUUCCCACUACAAUUUCAGGUCUUUGGCGUGAAAAAUCCCCACCGGUUUCCCCGCCAGGUCUUCAAGUUCGUAGGCAUUAUUUCCAACCGGACGUACGACUCGGCACUUCAGGAACUUCCGGGCGAAUUUGGCGUUGUAGCUCUUCCCAAAGUCACUGAGGGUGAAGUUGCGCCUGUAUACUUCUUGCCCAGGUUUGGCGAAAAAUAUUCGGGCCCGUUUGUUGUAGCUCUGGCUGCUGCGCUCGUACGCUU
rnacentral:lncRNA from 1 species